GCAUGGCCUUUCCUAGGCAAGGCUACCUUGUAUCAAGAGCUCCAAUGGCAAAAGGAUUGACCUUCUAGGCAAAGAGGCCAAGGGAGUGGGAGGACUUUGGAUUAGCUUGGCUCCAACAGGGGUGGAGAUGAGACCCACACUUCUGCUGUCAUGCCCUACAGCUGAUGUCCUUCUGAUCCCUCAGCCAGGCUCCACGCACUACCCCGAGAAGCUGAACCACAACGACAUAGCCUUGUCCCUCUGAAAACUCAGGCUUAAUCAGUUUAGCACCUGAGGCAGGGACCCUAGAUCCUCCUGAGGAACAGGAGUUGGACCGUGGGGCCCCCAGCAUCUUCCUCCCCAAAAUCUACCCAAACAGCACCCCAGGGCAGACAUAGAGCUUCAGGCUGAUAGGCACAGGGCUCCCUAUACCUCUUAUCUCUGGAAACCAUGAAUCUGAAGAAGACCUUUCCAGGCCAGGAUAAGGCUGAAUGUGGUGAGGGGUGGACAGCACAGCUGAGAGAUGGGUCAAGCUUUUCUCCUGAACCAGGAGUCGGGGACAUCUCCUGGGCUGUCCAUUUCCCUCAAACUGUCAGCGACAAGAACAGAAGCAGUCUCCAUUAAGCCAAGAGGGCCGGCGGACUUUCCAGAGAGCACAGCGGCAAUUCCUCCAGGCUUCACAGCCCCAUCGCACCUGGCUCAAGCAAAGGGAGGGCUGAGGCUGGGUGAGCUGUGCAAUGGCACCUUCCGCCUCCUGCCUAUGAGAAGAAAAACAUCAUGAAGAAAAGACCAAGCCAUCACAGGUCCCACUCAGAAGGGACAGAACCAGGCAAAAGGCAGCCAGAAUUCAAUUUGCCAAAUACAUAGAUGGAUCUGCAUGAUCUUGGAAGCCCCUUCCCCAAAUG